GAAACGCGAUAGUUAAUGUGAAUUGCAGAAUUCAGUGAAUCAUCGAGUCUUUGAACGCACAUUGCGCCCAUUGGUAUUCCGAUGGGCACGUCUGUUUGAGCGUCAUUACAAACUUUCGGUCAGAGUUUUUGCGAACUCCUGACCGGUCCUGAGCUCCGGCCGCGCAAGCGAACGGGCUUUAAAGUAGCACGCUCUGCGGGUCACCAAACCUGAACGAACAUAGUAGAAUCACUUCAACCUGUUCCUCGAAGGCUAGGUGCGCUCCGCCUGAACAACAACCUAUUUUUCUAAGGUUUGACCUCAGAUCAGACGAGGAUACCCGCUGAACUUAA
rnacentral:misc_RNA from 1 species